rnacentral:rRNA from 1 species
GGAGUUUGGGCCGUGUCUCAGUCCCAAUGUGGCCGUCCGCCCUCUCAGGCCGGCUACAGAUCGUCGGUUUGGUAGGCCAUUACCCUGCCAACUGCCUAAUCCAACGCGGGCCCAUCCCAUACCGCCGGAACUUUUCACACAAAACGAUGCCGUUUCGUGCGCUUAUGCGGUAUUAGCAGACGUUUCCAUCUGUUGUCCCCCUGUAUGGGGCAGGUUACCCACGCGUUACUCACCCGUCCGCCACUCGGUAUAACAAAAUCCAUCCGAAAACUUCAUUCGUUAUACCUCGUUCGACUUGCAUGUGUUAAGCACGCCGCCAGCGUUCAUC